rnacentral:tRNA from 1 species
GCCCGGGUGGCGGAAUUGGUAGACGCGCACGGUUCAGGUCCGUGUGUCCUAAAAGACGUGCUGGUUCGACUCCAGUCUCGGGCACAA